GCUCUCUGUGUACAUGGCAACCUCCAAUCCAAGUGUUUGUUUGAAGCUCCUCAUCGAUACAAAGGGUAAACGAGUUCUCUUUGCUGAAGCUGGCAAAGACUUUGUGGACUUUCUCCUCACAAUCCUGUCUUUGCCUCUUGGCACUGUCAUCCGCCUCCUCUCCAAAGAUGGCAUGGUUGGCUCGUUAGGCAAGCUUUAUGGCAGUGUCGAAAGCCUAAGCAGCACAUACAUGCAACCACACUUUAACAAGGAAUCCCUUCUGAAACCUAAGGCAACUGCAACAAGUGAUGUUGGUGCUGAUGUCCUUCAUAUGCUGACGAUAGAUGACUCCUCUGCUGAAAAGUCAAUCUAUGGUUGUCGUAAUUGUUGUUGUAAUUACAGCAGCAACCGGCCAAUCGUUGUAACCGACGACCCUAAAGCCACUUGUCCGCACUGCCGUUCAAGCAUAACUUCACCGGCGACUUUUGUCCAUCGAUCCGCUGCUGAAAGAACAACGUCCGGCGAGGGAGGGUAUGUGAAAGGUGUUGUGACUUAUAUGAUUAUGGAUGACCUGGAGGUGAAGCCUAUGUCUACCAUUUCAAGCGUAACCAUGCUCAACACGUUCAACGUCAAGGAUGUCGGUGCCCUUGAAGAGAAGGAGGUCCAUCUUACCAUGGAAGAGGUCUGAAAAGUACCUAAUCACACCCGGUUUUUUUUUUUUACUGUUCUCUCAAUUUUAUGAGUCCAUAUUUUGCAAUCGACCUAAUGUGUGAUCUAAACCUUGUACGUAGGGUGUCAAAUUGCUGAGGGUAUCAUUGCUGUCAAACUUGGUUCUGACCACCGUGUUCCUUGAUAAGAAUGAAGCGUGAACACCUCAACUUUAUUUGCACUUCAACUGCAAGUAUUAUGGAAUGAACAGUCUGAAUUUUCUACGAGGUGUUUGUUUGUGUUUGUUUCUGAAUGAUAUUUUGUUUUGCUUACCUGGUAAUGUAAUGUAAUUAAUGACCUAUGUAGUUUUGGGUUUCAAACUUUUUAGAUGUUAUGUAAUCUAGGACUUUUGUUUGAAGGUUCCUGUCUAGAUCUAUUGUACCUUUGGUUUUGGAUUUGGACUAUGUUCUGUUAUGUAUUGUUAUUUUGGAAGUGAUACUGUCUCGUUUUGGAUUUCAGUUCUUUUAUGUUGAAUUAUAUUUUGAUAUAAAUUAUGUUCUCUUAUUCUGUAGUCAUAUGGUUUUGCAGCUACACAAUGCCCUUUUAAGUGCUGGACUAUCAUUCACCAUACAAUUGCUACAAAAAUAUUUAAAUAAAGUUAGUCUUCCAUUAUUGUCCUUUGGAAAAAGAAAAGGGGUCGGAUCAACGUCCAAGCUGAUGCAGACGGUCUUGCUUUUCAUACAAAUCCCACCACUACAUGUUCACUUUCUUAUUUACAAAGUUUGAAAAGAAAAAAAAGAAAAACACAAUUUAAUAAUUCAACUGAAAUAAUGCGAAGUCUUUGCUUUUCGUACAAAGCUCAUGCAAACUCAUCAAUUUAAAUUACAGCCACGACAACAAAGUAGAACAAACGAGUGUGAUCUAAAAUCAUUUUUGUGAUUUAGAGCAUUCUUAAUGCAAAUUUUAGACCUAUAUUUUUAUAUUUAAAUUUUAAGAAAAAUGCCAAUUUGGGUGUUGGAACCAAAUUAGUGCACUGCCGUGGUUGGGGCAAAAAUCCAAGUAACAUGUAAAACAGCAAACAACCGUGAGCAACAGCCUAAGAUGCGAGGGUGUAUUGGUCAAAGGUUCUCCGAUAGUAAAGUUAGUAAGCAAGUAUAAGACUCAAGCAAUGGGUAAGAGAAUUAGAGUGCGAUGAUUGUGUUACCAGAGACAAACUCUAGAUGGGUGUAUUUAUACCAGUCGGGAGAGAGACAUUUUUAGGAUAGAAUCCUCGUGCUAAGCCAGGAGAAUUCUAGAAGAUAUCUAAAAGUAGAUAUUGCUUCCUCUUUAGGAAUGUGAUUAGUUGUGGUGUACACCAAUAUUUAGAUUGGAAGAACUCCAAGAUACAUAGAGGAUCUGAUUGAUUUCGUGCUAGAUCAGACAUUGUUAUCUUGCGGAACAAAAAUGGUCAUUCUCGAUGAAGUCGCUCGGAUUUCUCUCACUGCUCAGGAACAGGAUGAUGAUGACACCAGCUUGAGUAAACCCUAAUGCACAAUCACUGCAUUGUUUAUUGCAGUUAGUUUUAAGAAUCAAAACAAGAACAAGCAUACUAACCUGUAGGGGCAAGUGUUCUAUACGGAAAAUCACAAUUUAUACCGAGUGGAGGGACGAACCUUUUUGUCUAUAUCUUUUGGCAACUGCCUCCUCCAAUUAAGGAGGUAGUGCCUUGCAGUUUGUUAUCAAUUAUCUGCUUAUUAAGUUCAAAUUAUACUUAAUUAAUGAUAUUUCCGUCCAAUAUAGUUAUUUAAUAUCCAGACAUUAUAACCCUAGUGAAGUCCUAUAGUUAUCAUAACUCAUCUUAGUUAGCUCAUGCUUCUUACAAUGUUUGAUGAGCUCACAUAAGGAACUCUACAUUCUCGCACAUGAGUGAGAUCAAACAUGCUCAACAGUAUUGCAUUUGCUUGGAUAAAAGUGAUCACUGAGUUACUUUAACUAAUCGACUUCGACAAUUAACCAAAACAUCAUACUUGCAGGACUCAAGAAACCAUGAUAUCAAAUUCUUGCAUCAGUUUCCAUAGUCACAUACUCAUACAAUAUAUUAUAGCUAUUGUCAUCGAGAAAACAUAAAUUGGGAUCAAAAUAGUAUACUAAUAUGUAAACUCCCACAUUUUUGGUCCAAAUAUAUCAUGAAUAUCUCAUUCAUAUUAACCUUGCAAAGAUUUACUUCAUAUAAUUAACAUGUUCAGAAAUUGUGCAUUGCAUAAUAGAUGAAACAAAUCAACUCAGUACAUUUCUUAGCAUGUAAUAUAAAAAAAAUAGUAAGGUUUUCAUUCUUAAGUAACUUACUCCCACAUUAAUAAUGAUCCAGUGAAGGCUGCAAUCCCAUUUUCAAGACAUGUUUGUUGAAGACUAUGACAUUCAGGGCUUAGUUAAUGGAUCUGCAAUCGUGUCAUGAGUACUGAUGUGUUCAAUCUAUAUGACUCCUCCCCUCACUUUGUCUUGCACCUUCAAAUAUUUGAUGUCCAUCAAUUUCGAAGCCUCUGACCUCUUCUUGUUCUUUGCAAAGAAGACUGCUGCAGUGUUAUCACAGAAAAUCUUCACUGGUCUCUCUAUACUUCUUACAAUUUUCAUGUGAUAGAUCAAAUCCUUCAUCCAAUUCCCUUGUCUCAUUGCUUCAAAACAUACUAUAGAUUCUGAUUCCAUGGUUAACACUGCCCUAUUGCUUUUUACUUCUCCAAGAUAUUGCCCCCUCCAACAAACAUGAAAAUGUAGCCACUGGUAGACAUUCUAUAAUCUACACAACCUCCCAAUCAGCAUCAGUGUAAUCAAUUUUAAGUUAUCAACAUGACUGUAACACAGUACAUACUGAUGUGUCUUCUUCAAGUAUCUGAGAACUUUCUUCGGAACCUCCCAAAGGUUUCUUUUACUAAUUUCAUUUUAAGGUUGUGAUAAGUCAAUAUUAUACUAUAUAUUUUACCCUAUACUUAGUGUUAAUCUAUUGGUUAUUUUGUGUGAACUUUGAUACUUCGUUAUGUAUUUUCAAUGUAAGACAUUCGACUUCCUCUUAAGCAAAAAGUGACCAAAUGGAUGAAUUUUCGAGUGAUUCCAAUUGGAGGAUGUUCAUGAUCUUUCAAGAUGAUUGUGUCAAAGUUUUAGAUUUUUCUACCAUGUCUUUUGACCGUGACAAUGAAAUAAUGGCACAGCGCGCAGCUUUCCCAUAUUGACGUUUUUGGACGUUUUAGGUAUUUUCAAGGUCAAUAUGGCAUAUUUUGAGGAAGAUUCCUUCAGAGUUGUUUAUACCAUACUUAGGGUCUCCGUAUUUAGAUCUCGUAUAAAUACUCGGGGAACUCAAAUGUAAUUAUGUAAUAAAUGGAGGGGCAAAUAUGUAAAAAGGGGAGGAGCCCUUAUUCUAUAAAAGGGCAUCCUCACCCUCACAAACCCUAAGCCUCCUCAUAUCCCCUAAGCUCUAAGCUCUCUAAAAGCUCUCACUCUCAUAUGCAGAGCUCUAUCUCCCUCAGAAAUACAAUAUUAGUGUGGACGUAGUCCAAACAUUGGGGUGAACCACGAUACAUCUUGUGUUAUUUACUUUUUUGCAGAUUCACGGUCGGAUUUACGUUGUUCCAAGACCCCUCCAGUUUUGUGCAUCAACAUUUGGCGCCGUCUGUGGGAAACGACAUAAAAAAAAUCAUGUCGGUUCUCUUUCAUUUUUUCACCUCCACCGUGAAUCUGUAAAAAUCAAGAACCCAGAGUUUUCCUAAAAAAAAAAAACCCAGAAACUUACAAACUCUCGCUUUCCCGACUCCUUCUCAUCUCUCUCUUUCCCCUGUUUCUCUAUCUAGAUAUACGCAUAUAUAUAUAUGCAGCAGCGAGGCAGAGCGAACAACCGAAGAUCCAGGAGCUUUUCGAGAUCACGCAUUGCGGUUGAGGGAUCUUAGCCCGGGUCUUCUUCCUCUCCUCAUCUCACUCGCUCUCGUUCGAAUUUGAAUUCUCAACUCUCUCGAUCGCCAUUUCUGUCAACAAUGGCUGCUUUUGCUAAUGGGCAAGAGUGGGAGGUGCAGAAGAAUUAUUGGGUGGAGCACUCCACCGAUUUGACCGUUGAGGCCAUGAUGCUCGACUCCAAGGCCUCUGAUCUCGACAAGGAAGAACGACCUGAGGUGCUUUCGUUGCUCCCUCCCUAUGAGGGCAAAUCGGUUGUAGAACUCAGGGCUGGGAUUGGUCGUUUCACUGGAGAAUUAGCUGAAAAUGCCAGUCAGCUUUUCACAUUGGACUUCAUUGAUAGUGUGAUAAAGAAGAAUGAAAGCAUUAAUGGACACCAUAAGAACGUCAAGUUCAUAUGGGCUGAUGUGACAUCACCUGAUCUGAAGAUUUCUGAAAACUCGGUGGAUUUGGUAUUCUCAAAUUGGCUUCUUAUGUAUCUGUCAGAUAAGGAGGUAGAGUAUUUGGUGGAAAAGAUGAUGGGAUGGUUGAAGGUCGGUGGAUAUAUCUUUUUUAGAGAAUCUUAUUUCCACCAAUCUGGAGACUCCAAACGAAAAUCCAACCCAACUCAUUACAAGGAACCAAGAUUUUAUACCAAGGUCCAUCAGUUAGUGGUACUGGUUUUGUCCCAGAUGAUGAACCAAAAUCUGAGUCUUCAUCGGAAAGGGCACAGCGCCAAAAGCGAAAAGCAGAAACUAGAAGACAGCAGCAGCAUCAGCAUCUUACUGGCCAAGCAGAAAGCUCAGGAAAUAGCGAACGGGCUCUCGUUCCGGGUCGGGUUCUUCGAUCACAGUGGCCACCUCCAGCUCGAGCCCCUCUCCACUGUCGAGAGCUUCGACCCCAUCAAGUCUCUCCCUGGUUUCGCCGUCACACUGUUGAUAGCAGAAGAAGAGCUCUGCAGUCCCUUGGCCUGGAUGAGGAGAAGAGCUCCACGUCUCGCCGAUCUCGAGCAGGACCACAAUAGUAACUGUAAAUACAGUGAAAUCUAGGAGAAAAAGAUAUAGGGGAUUCACUCUCGAACCUAACGGAUGAGACGAAUGGGUCGGGUCAUGGACCGGGUCUUGGCGACACUCGAAAGUUGUGCAACGCUACACCUUCCACCAGGUCCCACAUCAACCCUCCUAUGGUUGGCUCGAAGUAGAUCGGACAACAGCCUUUCACUCAGCACCCAGGAUCAUGGACAACGACCUGCUGGAUGAGAUCAAUAAAAGCACUCUAAUGGGGUUUUACAGCUGGAGUACACCAGCUGGUGUUCAGACAGCAGAAAAAGAAAAAGGGAAGAAAAUGAAUACAGAAAGGAAAAUCCAGGAUUAUACUUUUGCUUUUGUCGACCACCAAAGCAGAAGAUGUCAUCAACUUUUAAAAAAAGAAAACUUUCAUCAUGUAUGUUCCCAUUUUUCUGAAGAAGCCACUGGAAGACGCACAUGGAAAAAGAUCUGCAACAACCCAGUACGGACCAACGACUGCUUUAUUUAUUUUUGAAUGAUGUAAUUUUUUUUUCUUAUCUUUCGGAGACAUCUGUAUAAACCCCAUCAGAGAGUAAAAAAAAGGAAUAAUGGGCUAGAAGGUUAUGUGGAGGGCGAAGACCUAUAUGCCUAAAAGAGCCAGACCCUCUAUUAUCACCAACCAGGUGAUCAAAAGUACAUCCAAUACUACAAAAAAUUAUUCAGCAGCCUGCCACUGUUAUCACCAACCAGGUGAUCAAAAGUACGCCCAGUACUCCAAAAUUAUUUGGCACCCUACCGCUAUUAUCACCAACCAGGUGAUCAAAAGUACACCCAGUACUCCAAAAUUAUACAUGAGCAUUACUCAUGUCAAUCAUACAUAAACAUUUCAUAAGCAUCACUCAUGUCAAUCAUACAUAAACAUUCAUGACCAUCAUUCAUGUCAACAUUCAUAAGCAUCACUCAUGUCAACAUUCAUGAGUAUCACUCAUGUCAACAUCCAUGAGCAUCACUCAUGUUAAUCAACAUAAACAUUCAUGAGCAUCACUUAUGUCAAUCAGCUUCAAAAGCUUCAUUUACAGAGCUCUAACUUCAAAAACUUCAUUUACAGAGCUCUAGCUUCAAAGCUUCAACUUGCAAAGCUUCACCUAUAAAGCUUCAGUGCAUGGUCUACAAAGACCGCCUCCGAAUAACCGUUAUUUCGGCCCAUACAUGGAUUGAAUUUAAAGUAUCCAGCCAACAGCCUCUAUUGACCGAAGACUUGGGGGGCUACACUAUGUACCAUAUAUUGGGCCUCAUGAAAAAUACUUGGGGGACUUAGCCCAUUAUUUAUGUACUGAGGAGCGAGCCAUUAUUCUAUAAAAAUGACUCCCUCACUUUCAUUAGAAAGCACCCAUCAUUUAUGUAUUGAGGAGCGAGCCCUUAUUCUAUAAAAGGGACUCCCUCACCUUCAUUAGAGAGCAUCGCCGCCUGCUGAGCAACCGCCUCGCCGCUAGCAUCAACUCUAGCCCAUCAUUUAUGUAUUGAGGAGCGAGCCCUUAUUUUAUAAAAGAGACUCUCUCACCAUCAUUAGAGAGCAUCAACUCUAGCCUAUCAUUUAUGUAUUGAGAAGCGAGCCCUUAUUUUAUAAAAGGGACUCCCUCACCUUCAUUAGAGAGCAUCGCCGCCAGCUGAGCAACCGCCUCGCCGCGAGCAUCACUCAUAACCCAUUAUUCAUGUACUGAGGAGCGAGCCUUUAUUUUAUAAAAGGGAUUCCCUCACCUUCAUUAGAGAGCAUCGCCGCCAGCUGAGCAACCACUUCGUUGCGAGCAUCACUCCUAACCCAUCACUUAUGUAUUGAGAACCGAGCCCUUAUUCUAUAAAAGGGGACUCCCUCACCAUCAUUAGAGAGCAUCGCCGCCUACUGAGCAACCGCCUCGCCGCAAGCAUCAACCUUAGCCCAUAUUUAUGUAUUGAGGAGCGAGCCAUUAUUCUAUAAAAGGGACUCCCUCACCUUCAACGCCACAAGCCGAGCCAACCAAGGUAACAUAAGCCACAAGCAGAACAACCUCGCAACAUAUGUUACUUCUAGUUGAGCAUCAUUUCAGAUUGGGCACCGCCUCAUAUCGAGUAUCAGUUCUAGACGACAUCUAGUUACUUCGGCACACACAUAGACUGAAUUUCAAGUCUCCAGCCAAAAGACUCUCUUGACUGAAGACUUGGGGGACUACUGUUUAUACCAUACUUAGGGCCUCUGUAUUUAGACCUCGUAUAAAUACUCGGAGGACUCAAAUGUAAUUAUGUAAUAAAUGGAGGGGCAAAUAUGUAAAAAGGGGAAGAGCCCUUAUUCUAUAAAAGGGCAUCAUCACCCUCACAAACCCUAAGCCUCCUCACAUCCCCUAAGCUCUAAGCUCUCUCAAAGCUCUCACUCUCAUAUGCAGAGCUCUAUCUCCCUCAGAAAUACAAUAUCAGUGUGGACGUAGCCCAAACAUUGGGGUGAACCACGAUCACGGUCGGAUUUCCGUUGUUCCAAGACCCCUUCGGUUUUGUGCAUCAACGAGAGUAUUUGUUGGGAACAACUUAAGCUUUCAAAAGAGACCUUUUGGGACCAAAUCGGUGUUGAUUUGGUCGGUUAAAAGUCUGAUUUUUUUAGAAGUCUGAAUUUCAGUUUAAAUAGGAAACCUUUUAUUUUCUAGUUAUCUUAUUCUAUUAUGUUUCCUUGUUUGAUUCUAAGACUUUUUUUAGGUAGGGUUUUAUUUUGUAUUAGUAUAAAUAAAGCUUUUUAGCUAUUAGAGUUUGAAGAAAGGGAGAUGGAGAACACAAUACUUUGGCUGUAGAGAGCUUUUGACGAUUCAAGUUUAUUUUCAAUGUAUUUUCUAUCUAUGUUUUGAAUAAUAUUUUGUUUUAUGAUUGUUAGUAACUAAUUUCGUUUGUUAGGGUGAGGCCACAAACCGUACCAAGAAUAUGCAGUUUCUUUUCAAUUUGCUUAUGAUAUUAUGCAUGCAAGUUUUGAAUUGUUAAUCACUGUGUUUGAAACUAUCUAAUUGUCUUGAUGAUUGGCCACCAUUAGAAUAUUUAGAAAAGUAAUUUGAUGCAAUUUUGGCUGAGGGCUGUCCCUAAAAUUGACUAAGGCUUCUUGUGGUUAAUAUGUGCAAUUUCUUAGGAUGAACAACACAUCUUAAGGGUUACAUGGUUUUUCAAAAGGUUUUCACAAAACUUAAUUAGUCUUGCAUGUUCACAUUCAAUCCGGACACCACGAACGGGUUGCAUGUUAGAUAUACGUUCUAUGUUGGAGGUUCCAAGUAGGACAUACUUCAGGAAAACCUAAACUUCAAAAUAUGCAUUUGUAAUUCAUAAAUAAUUGGAAGAACUACAUAGGAUUGUUAAGGUGACGGCGGAACCCUAGUGCUUAAAUAGAUUUUCAAAACUAUUUUCUUUUCUUUUAUGUACUUUGUCAAUUUAUUUAAUUGUUUUUAAUUUAAUUCAUUUUUAAUAUUUUAGCUUAUAAAAUCAUACUUUUUCAAACUUUGUUUUCAAAUAAUUAAUUAAGAUUUGGUUUUACAUAAAUUAUUCAUUCAAUCUUUGUGGAGAACAAUCUUGUUAGUGCCAACCAUACUACGAUUACCUUAUACUCUUGCAAGUAUUUUAAAUGUUUGUGUUGAUGCACAAAAUCCGACGGAUCUUGGACCAACGUAAAUCCGACCGUAAAUCAUACAAACGCACGAGAACACAAAGAUAUAUCGUGGUUCACCUCAAGUUGGGCUACCACACUAAUGUCAAUAAAUGUUGAUGAAGGUUACAGUAUGCAUGGAGGCUAUAAAGGCUUAGUAUUUGCUCUCUGUAUUAUUCUCUGCCUCUCUAUCUGUUUGCCUUUCCCGCUCAGUCCCCUAUAAGUGAAGGUGAGGAUAAUCCCUUUUAUAAAGUAAGGGUUCCCUCCCCUCUUACAUAAAUCAUGGGCUUAUUGGUGAAGCACAAAUAUAAGCCUAAAUAUCGAGGCCCAAUAUAUGGUACAACAGGAGUCCCCCAAGUUUUCUGUUAAGAGAGUCUUUUGGCUGGAGACUUCAAAUUCAAUCUAUGUGUGGACCGAAAUGACUAGAUGUCGUUCAGAACUAGUACUCAACAUGAGACGGUGCUUAACGUCAAGCAAUACUCAGCUAGAGGUAACACACGUUGCGAGGCUGCUCAGCUAAAGGCAAUGCUCUCGGCGACGCGGUUGCUCAGCUGAAGGUGGUGCUCAUUGCGAGACAGCUUGGCUUGUGGCAUUCCUCGUUGCGAGUAUGCACUCGACAUCAGCAUGAGCUCAUUAUGAGUUAAUUCUCGACAUGACUUGGAUCCGCUUGUUGGGUUUGUAUAUGGGUCUAUGUGUUGGCUGGAGACUUCAAAUCCAAUCCAUGUACGGGCCGAAGUGACUAGAUGUCGUCUAGAUCUGGUACUCGACAUGAGACGAUGCUUAACGUCAAGCAAUACUCAGCUAGAGGUAGCAUACGUUGCGAGGCUGCUCGGCUAGAGGCAAUGCUCUCGACGAAACGAUUGCUCGGCUAGAGGUGGUGCUCAUUGCAAGGCAACUCGGCUUGUGGCGUUCCUCAUUGCGAGUAUGCACUCGACGUCAGCGUGCGCUCAUUAUAAGUGAGUGUCUGAGCAAGUGGGUGUUCGGUCGGACAAGAGAUUAUCGUUCGGACUAAAUCUUUGUCACCAUAAGCAUGUGGCUCAGUGAUCCAUAGGCUGAUCCAUAGUGUUGACCACCAUAAUUUUGGUCCCUGGUUAAUCAAUAAAUUGUAUGAGUAUCGUAUACAAGCAAUCAAUCAUUAAAGUGUGCAUAUUGCGGGUACUGUCAUACAUAGAUCAUAUAAACAUACAAUAAUGUAGUAUGCCUAGUGAAAUGUGUAUGUGACAAUAUAAUUCAAUGAAAUUUAAUAAUGUAACAUAGAAUGCAUGUGGUGUGGUUGCCAUGGAUUAAUCUCCUUAAUGGGUUUUCCCAAACCGAUAGUGAGACAGUGGGUAAUCAAAUAAAGGUUAGCCCAAAGUUUUAUACUAAUAUUUAAAUAAUGAAUAAAAUAUUCAAAAAAUGAUUAAAGUUAUAUCAUUUUAAAAGAGGGAUGGCUGACAAUAUCAAAGGGUAAUAAUACUAAAGUUAUGAUAGGAAUGAUUAUGGUUUGUGAUGUGACCCGGCAUAAUAAACACACAACAGUAGUCAUGUAGCUUUAAUAUAAUGGCAAUGGGGACUCAUUAUAUAUAUAUAUUGUGAGGUGUCGCACUGUAUAUGCACACAGGUUAUGAAAACAAUAUAAUAUAUUGCUAACUGUGCACUAAAAUAUAAAUGUGAUAGAAAUGAUGUGGUCUCAUUUUAAAGAAUAUGCAUACUGUAAAGCAGACGCUGCAGUAACAAGAUCAAGACAAAAUAAUAAUAAAAUAUUAAAUAAACAGUGAUAAUUUUAAACAAAUCAUUUAAGAAAAGAUAAAGUUCUUAGCUUCUUCCAUGUUGAUGGUCGACACCUUGCGCUGUCAUGCUCAUGUUGCACACUGCACCAUAGUACGCAUAUUCUCUGAUAACCCACUCAGCCAUCGUGCCAAGCUUGUGAGCAGCUAUGCAGCAUUGGCAUAGUUAUGGUGCAGGUUUGUCGUGGUGUUAGAGGAAUGGAGCGAUAGAGACCAAGUCGAUGCCGACCACGAGGUUGCCGACGGGAACGCGAUGUACGGCGACUCAGGGAAGUCCUUGUGAAGCUGAUAAAAAAAAAUAUAGCUUCUUGUGAGCAGCAACAGACAGCAGAGCCUUGAGCCCUUUCACCGAGCUCGACAACAGAAACUCUGACGAUGGUGGUGGUGCAUUGACGAACUGGAUCGCGACAUCUAUCUCCCCACAGCAUUCAUCUUCGUCGACUUGAGCUCAGCUCUCCAUAAGGACCUUGUCCUGAUUCAUGAGGCAGAGAGGGGCAAUGGAAACACCAUCCUCGUUCUUUGUCAAGAACUUGCAGACGGGGCCGAGGCCGUACAACUGCUCGACAUUGCUGUCGUGAAGCGUGCGGAGGGAGUAAGUGAGGAUGGAGUAGCUAGCCAGGAGGUGCAGCAUGCGAUCCAGCAUAACGGGGGCGUCAGGGUUAUUGGUCAGUAGCUGCGAAGCUAAGUCCGCCGGAGAAACGAAUACGCCAGGCCCUGCUCUCGCCAUGAUCUCAAGGAGGUCAAGCUCAAGGGCUGCUUUGAGCACCAUAGGGAGAACAGAAGCGUUGGCUAGCUGCAUGGCGAAGAGGUUUGCUUCUUCGUCGGAGACUUGGGUUGGGUUGUGCAGAUUCAUGGUGGACAGUUGUAAGGGUUUCACAAUGGUGAGAUGAAAAAAUGAAAGAGAACCGACAUAACUUUUCCUGUCGUUUCCCACAGACGGCGCCAAAUGUUGAUGCACAAAAUUCGACGUAUCUUGGACCAACGUAAAUCCGAUCGUGAAUCACACAAGCGCACGAGAACACAAAGAUAUAUCGUGGUUCACCUCAAGUUGGGCUACGUCCACACUGAUGUCGAUAAAUGUUGAUGAAGGUUACAGUAUGCAUGGAGGCUAUAGAGGCUUAGUAUUUGCUCUCUGUAUUAUUCUCUGCCUCUCUAUCUGUUUCCCUUUCCCGUUCAGUCCCCCCUAAGUGAAGGUGAGGAGGAUCCCUUUUAUAGAGUAAGGGUUCCCUCCCCUCUUACAUAAAUCAUGGGCUUAGUGGUGAAGCCCAUAUAUAAGCUCAAAUAUCGAAGCCCAAUAUAUGGUACAACACUUUGUAUCCCUACUUUUGCAGGUGAUAAAAAUCCCUAUUAAGAAAUUGGCGCCGCUACCAGGGAUUGUUUUAAAUAAUUUGUGUUUAUCAUAUUCUUAGUUAAUUAUUUUUGUACAUAACUUUUUAUCUAAUUGAUUUUAUUUUUUUUAUAGGUAACAAUUUGUGCAACAAUGGAAUUUAUUCCUCCUCCUGGAUUCAAUAUACAACUAGGAGGACUGCCCUUAUGGGUCAACUCUGCAUAAUGGAGUUUUUUUAUGGAUUUAAAGCUACAAAUUGUGCACUUUGUUGUUUGAAGACCAUGAUAUGGCGCCACGUCACAGACACAUGGCAUCCAGUCAUGGUGACACGUCACAAUUAAUGGAAAAUUUAACAGUUUGACUAACGGAUGUAUGAGACUGUCCCAAAAUUUACACUUUAGGUAUGAAUCUGAGACGAAAAAAACUUGAUGUACUAAAUGUUGAAAACCACAAAACAUGAGGGUAGUAAACAGUCUUUUACCCAAAAAAUUAUUUUAAAAAUCAGAAAAUUGAACAACACAAAAACAACAAAUGUUUUUUUUUAAUCAGUAUUUUAUUUUGGGUUUUAUUCUAAUCAAAUUUUUAAUGUUUGAUCUUUGCAAGUUGCUUUUGGAGGCAAUUUAGUCCUAAAUUCCGCUGCAUGCAAUCAACAUUCAUUCGACUGAAUCAUGCAGCAUUCAUUCAUCUCAGUACAUUCAUCAACAUUUUAUCAAAGUUCAGAAAUUUAAAAAAGAAUGCGAACUGGAGUCUUGUGUUUCAGAAACCUUACAAUGGGUUGACUGUACUGCUUGGAAACUCCUUUCGCUCGCUCGCUCUCGUAUUUCAUAAGAAUAUUGUUUUACAUAUACGUUUGGGGGUGGUCCAGGCAGCACAGUGGGGAGCACAUUCAUCAAGUCAAUACACAGAUUGACCUCAUGUCCAAGAAAUUUUUAGUUGUGACGGGAAUACAAGUGGUACAUCACGUGUUUUAAUAGGAGUAGUGAGAAAUUUUAUUUUUUAAGUUAUUAACUUUUUAGCACACAUAUCCCACCAUUUGUAUAAUGACACGUGGUGUACUACCCUAUGUACCGAUCACAUUGAAAAAUCAUAAUGCACAGAUUUUUGAGCUCAUGUGUUCAUCAUCAAGAGACAUGCAAAAUAAAUUUAGUCAUACAUGAACACAGAGAAAAAUUUCAAGGGAAAGUAUACUAAUGCAUCACAUUAUAAACAGAUCCAAGGACUAACUUUCACAAAUUCAGAUCAAGAAACAACGAAUAAGUUUGGGGGUUGUCGGCUAUUUACCUUCCUUUUGGAUCUAAAAAUCAUAGGCUCUGCCAAAACUUUUCUUCCUCAUAUUGGCGCUUGAGUUCCGCAGAGGAAAUGCCCGAUGGUGACAAUCUGGGCUAGAAUCAAAGAUUGCCAUGGCUGGGUUCAGUUUUUGAUAAAGAUGGAAAUGAACAGAGAUACAACUAUGGGGGCAUGGCUGAGUAUUUGUUUUUGAGGUUGAGCUAUGGCCGAGGAAUGAUGAGAUCAUGGUGAAGUAUGUUUUGGACCAUGAGAUUCAUUGGAGGAUUUGAGUUUGGGGCAUGGGUUUGGUUUUCGAGAGAGAAAUGGCUCUGGGCUCAAGGAAUGAGCAUCCGAGUAGGCUUUAACAAGCUGGCUGGGAUGUUUUGGAUUUAGGCUUGGUAAUCAAUGGGUUGUUUCAUCUUCUGCUGGAAUGAGCCACAUCAUGGCACAUUUGCUUCAUGUCCAGUAGUCCAACAGCUUCAUUUUCAAGCAAGGUAAUAUCUUUCUUUUUCUUUGGUUUUGUUCAGCAUUUUCGCUUUUAUUAUUAUAUUAUCUUUUUCUUAAUUUCGGUUUUUAUUCUAUUCUCUAGCUAGCUGUUAGUUUAAGUUUAUUUUAUUUUUCACACCUUGAGGACAAUGUGUGUUUAAGUUUGGGGGUGGGAAAGUAAAAUCUUAGAUUUUUCUUUCUUGUUUUUUGAGAGUCCGUUUAAAUUUUUCGUUUUAAAUGGCUUAGCCUCUGUGGUGGGAUUAGUUGGAACUUUUGGAAAGAUGUUCUAAUUUUUAACGUUUUCUAUGGAUUGCAGUUUGAAGAUGAAAAUUUUGUCGUAGUUAAAUUUUGUUUAAGUACGUAGUUUGUUAGCUUUUGUUUUUGUUUUCUAGUUUUAUUUUGCUUGAGGACAAGCAAAAAGCUAAGUUUGCGGGUAUGUGAAUGAGUCGAUAUUAUCCACUCAAGUAAAUAGUAAUAGACCCCAGUGAACAGUAAUAGGCCAAAGCAUCUCCACCUCUACAAAAUGCGCUGGCACCCAGCCCAUUUAAAAUUUUAUACUUUUUUUAAAAGAAUAAAUAAAUAAAAAAUAGUUUUAUUUUCAGAUAACAUUUUUAACCAAGUUUGGAUAAAAUUUCAAAUAAACUUAAAAAAAAACACACACUAUAAUAAAAUUACAUACUCAUCAAAUAAACUUAAAAAAACACACUAAAAUAAAAUUACAUAAACUCAUCAAAUAAACAAAAAAAAAACACACUAAAAUAAAAUUACAUAAACUCAUCAAAUACACUUUAUUCUUCAACCACAAGCUUAUUUUAAUUAUCUUCACCUUCUUGCAAUCCCCACUGGUGCUCAAUCAAGUCAUUAUGGCGGGUUACGUGCCAGUAUGGCUCUUGCACAUCAGUGUACCGCUGAACGAUCAAUUCAUUGUAACGUCCAUCCCGUUCCAAUGGCUCGUGUUGCACGGGAUCUUCGGUCCGAUCAUGAGCACAGUAGAUACGUGUUCUUAAGUUGUUCAUCGGAUCCGGCUCAUAUUCAUCGACAGCAUCAUAAUCAUACUCAUCUUCCACAAUCAUGUUGUGGAGAAUAAUACACAUCAUCAUGAUGGAUUGAAGAGCUUCGACACCAAACAUUCUAGCAGCAGACCUGAUAAUCGCCCAACGAGCUUGCAGGAUACCAAAACAACGUUCCACAUCAUUCCUACACCCCUCUUGACAUUUUGCGAAGUGUUUUUCUUUUUCAGUCUGUGGAUGUGGCACUGUUUUGACAAACGUAGACCACCUUGGGUAAAUGUCGUCUGCAAGGUAGUAUGGUCCGUCGUAUUUAGUGUCAUUAACCCAAUAUGUGCCUGUCGUCGAUUUUCCUUGCAGCAGAUUGUCGAACACUGGAGAUUAAGCAAGGUCAUUUUGAGCUCUUGAAACACCAAAAAAAGCAUGCCAAAUCCAUGUAUCAAAUGAAGCCAUCACUUCCAAAAUGAUACUUUUGCCUCUUUUCUGUCACCAUAAGCUCUUUGCCACGCACUUGGACAGUUUUCCAACUCCAGUGCAUGCAGUCGAUACUUCCAAUCAUGCCAGGGAAGACUCGCAUCUCACCCUUCCUCAGAAACCUUCGCAUGUCCCUUGGCGGGUGUCCGGAUGUACUCAUUGGUGUACAGGGCUUCAAUUGCAUAGCAAAACCGCAUCAGGGACUCCAGAACAGUUGUUUUUCCCAUCCUCUCGAUCUCAUCCACUUGAUCUAGAUAAUACAUAUGCAAGCAUUCGCAAGGCAGCCGUAAUUUUUUGCUCUAGAAGAAGACCUGGAACACGAAAAGCAUCAUCUUUUUGCACAAAUAUGGAUCAUGGUUGCAAAUAGCAUUCAUGAUUUUGUUGAACAAACUUCGUUGCAUUCUAAAAUGACGUCUAAAAACAUGAUCAGGGAAUACGCUAUUGGGAAUAAAAUAAUCUUCCAAGAGAUCUUUAUCUCGUAUUUCCCUUUUUCUAUCGAAAUUUGUGGCACGUCUGGGUUUGGAUAUCUGGCCUACAGCUUUCAUGACACGGAGGGAAUGUGAGGCCCUCUGCCUUCUAUGGUCAUCAUCUGAGUCAUCCUCCAUUGCGAAAGCCUCAUCUCUACCUCCACCUUCCUCGAGAUUGAUCAAUUCUUCUUGUUGUGCCAACAAUCUUUUCUGUUGCUCCACAAAUUGUUCAUGCACUCUCCUUGAAGAAGACAUUGUAAAAAAAACUCAAGAUUUGAAAACGAUAAAGAUGGAUGCAGGGAUGUAUGGUUUAUAUGGACAAAAAAAAUUAAGGAUGAGCUUUUUGGUUUUUUUUUUUCACACAAAAAGUAUAUGAAAGCUUUGGUAGAAAGUGUAGAAAAUAUUGAAAUGUGGUGUAAGGUGGAAGAUGAGGGUUAGGUAUUUAUAGAAAAAAAAAUUAACUUUUUAAAAAAUUUUCUGUAUUUUUUAAUAAUUUUUCUGUAUUUUUUCAUAAUUUUUAAUAAAUUUUAAUAUAGUUAAUUAAUCUGGACCGUUGGAUUUGAAAAAUAUUCAAAUCCAAGAGCCAAGUGCUGCCACGUGGCCAACGGUCAUAAUUCUGACCGUUGGGCCUUUUUUAUUAUUUUUAUUUUUAUUUUUGGUGAAAAAAAUGUGGACCGUUGAUCUGUGAUCGGACGGUCCAUUUUAAAAGUCAAAUUUAAAUUUUUUUACCAUUGAAAAUCCAACGGUCUACAAAAACUAGCCGUUGUAAAUCCAACGACAUUGAGAGGGCCACAUCGCCUCCUUCUGUGUGAAGCACAAGUGGGCCACGUCCCCUACUCGCGCCCACUUGUGAGUGAGCUGCACGCGCCAGGCAAAUAGCCUGGCUCCUUGGUCAGUCAAUUUUGGGCUGGCCCAGAGACCAGCUUGGGCUGGGUGCCAGGCAAGUUGCUAGGCUGGAGUGAAUUGACAAAGUGCCAGCCUGGUUUUUUAACCAGGUGUUGGGCUAUUCCACCUCCGGUGGAACUGCUCUAAAGCCCUAGUGGUUUGGGAAUCAUUGACCUAAAGCUCGUUGCAUGGGUUGGAUCGAAAGCUUAAGGGAACUAACAUUGCAUAACCACUAUUGUUACUGGAAAAAAAAUAUGAAAAAAAAAAGAAAAAAAAAAGAGAAAGAGAAAAAUCGAAAAAAAAAUUAGUUAUGUUAAAGUUAGUAUGUGUGAAAUAAAGAGGAUGAGUGGUAAGGAUUUUAGUCGAGUCUCCCUAAUCAUGUUGGUUCACUUUACAUCAAAGGAAGUUUAUGAAUUCUUUUCUAAUUAAUUCUACAUGGCUUAGCCUCUGUGGUGGGAUUAGUUGGAACUUUUGGAAAGAUGUUCUAAUUUUUAACGUUUUCUAUGGAUUGCAAUUUGAAGAUGAAAAUUUUGUCGUAGUUAAAUUUUGUUUAAGUAUGUAGUUUGUUUGCUUUUGUUUUUGUUUCCUAGUUUUGUUUUUCUUGAGGACAAGAAAAAAAGCUAAGUUUGGGGGUAUGUAAAUGAGUCGAUAUUAUACUAUAUAUUUACCUUAUUCUUAGUAUUAAUUUAUGGGCUUAUUUUGUGUGAACUUUGAUACUUUGUUAUGUAUUUUCAAUGUAGGACAUUUGACUUCCUCUUAAGCAAAAAGUGACCAAACGGAUGAAUUUUCAAGUGAUUCCAAUUGGAGGAUGUUCGUUAGUCUUUCAAGAUGAUUGUAUCAAAGUUUCAGAUUUUUCUACCAUGUCGUUUGACCGUGGCAAUGAAAUAAAGGCCCAUCGCAUAACUUUUCCAGAUUGACAUUUUUGGACGUUUUGGGUAUUUUGGAGGUCAAUAUGACAUAUUUUGAGAAAGAUUCUUCUGAUUAUUUGUUGGGGACGACUUAAGCUUUCAAAAGCAACCUUUUGGAACCAAAUCGUAGUUGAUUUGGUCGGUCAAAAGUCUGAUUUUCUGAGAAGUCUGAAUUUCAGUUUAAAUAGAAAACCUUUUAUUUCCUAGUUAUUUUAUUCUAUUAUGUUUCCUUAUUUUAUUCUAAGAAUUUUUUAGGUAGGGUUUUAUUUUGUAUUAGUAUAAAUAAAGCUUUUUAGCCAUUAGGGUUUGAACAAAGGGAUGUGGAGAACACAAUACUUUGGCUUUAGAAAGCUUUUGACGAUUCAAGUUUAUUUUCAAGGUGUUUUCUGUCUAUUUUUUUAACAAUAUUUUAUUUUAUAAUUGUUAGUAACUAAUUUCAUUUGCUAGGGCGAGGCCAAGAGCCUUAGCAAGAAUGUGUAAUUUCUUUCAAUUUGCUUAUGAUAUUAUGCAUGCAAGUUUUGAAUUGUUAAUCACCGUGUUUGAAACUAUAUGAUUGUCUUGAUGAUUGGCCACCAUUAGGAUAUUUAGAAAACUAAUUUGAUAUCAUUCGUGUUCCCAUGAUUUGAUUUACCCUAAUAACCACAUAGUAAAAUAGUUUUUUUUAUAUAUUUAAAUUUAAAAAAAAUAAACAAUUGUCGUGGUCCAUAAAAUAUAGGGUAAAAGACAGUUUACUACCCUCAUGUUUCGUGGUUUUCAACAUUUAAUACAUCAAUUUUUUUCGUCUCAGAGUCAUACCUAAAGUGUAAAUUUUGGGACAGUCUCAUACAUCCUUUAGUCAAACUGUUAACUUUGCUGUUAAAUGAUGAUGUGGCGCCCACGUGGACAAUGAUUGGGCGCCACGUGUCAUUAAAAAAAAAUUUAAAAAAUUAAACUAUUAAAAUAAUUAAUUAAAUAAAAGUUAUAAAAAAAAUUUUAAAAAAAAUUCCCCAUAUCCUCUCUUCCCCACCUCGAUCCCCCUCCCUUCUCCCUUUGCACCUUUGCAAAUCCUUCCUCCUGUGAAGCUCUGCUCAUCCGUCCUUCCCCAGAUCUCCUGAUCCCUCUGCACCUUCAUCAUUCCCCAGAACCCCUUCGUCUUCCACGACACACACACCCACAACCCCUACGUCUUCCGCGACACACACACACAGCUGUCAACUUAAGUCUUAAACUGAACUAACAGUUCAUUUGUUUAGGGAUUAAACGGUAAUUUACUGUAUAUUUUUAUAUGUUCGGUAAACUCUCGCUAUCUGGUCUUGGUUAGCAAACUGGAAAAGAAUUUAAAAACGGGGAGAAAAGAGAGACUGUGCUGGUCAAGACGCCUCAUGCACCAGAUGGACCGUCUCAUCUGCCUCUCUUUCCGGGGAUAGAGAGAGAGAGAGAGAGAGAGAGAGGUAGACAGGGAAAGAGCAACUGCUAAAAUCGCUGCCGAUCUGGACCAACCCAGUAUGCGGUUAAAGCCCUUCAACUCCUUCAGCAUCGCCUUCAUGAUGAGCGGCGCACUCUUGCUCGUUUUCUUCUGCAGCUUCCUCGAAUUCCCUUUUCUAUCAACCUCAAUCAAACCCAUCAACGAUCCGACCAAGUUCACACCCGACCCAUUUACUAACUUGAUCGGCGCCUUCAGGAAGUGGGAUGCCCAGGUGGGUUGCUCUCGUUUCAGAGAGAAGCACAAGCUGCAGAUGUUGCAGAGCAAGUCUUCUUCUCUGCAGCAAAUUCGCGGCGAAUCGGAGUGCGGGGAGACGAAAUCAGAGCAUGUUAGCGUGCUGGUGAAAGGGUGGACUUGGAUUCCUGAUAAUUUGGAUAGUUUGUAUUCAUGCUCGUGUGGGUUGAGCUGCAAAAUUUGGAUAAUUUGGAUAAUUUUGGAGCUGCAAAAUUAACUUGUAUUGGGAUGGAGGGGGUGGAGCCGUGGAGGAAGACGAAUGGUUGUGGGUGUGUGUGUCGCGGAAGACGAAGGGGUCUAGGGAAGGAUGGAGGUGCAGAGGGAUCUGGGGAUCUGGGGAAGGACAGAUGAGCAGAGCUCCAUAGGGGGAAGGAUGUGCAGAGGUGCAGAGGGAAAAGGGAGGGGGAUCGGGGUGGGGAAGAGAGGAUCUGGGGAAUUUUUUUUUAAAUUUUAUUUAAUUAAUUAUUUUAAUAGUUUAAAUUUUUUUAAAUUUUUUUAAUGACACGUGGCGCCUAGUCAUUGUCCACGUAGGUGCCACGUCAUCAUUUAACGGCAGAGUUAACAGUUUGACUAACGGAUGUAUGAGACUGUCCCAAAAUUUACACUUUAGGUAUGAUUCUGGGACGAAAAAAAAUUAAUGUACUAAAUGUUGAAAACCACAAAACAUGAAGGUAGUAAAUUGUCUUUUACCCUAAAAUAUAUUAUUAGAAAACUGUUAUUGAUACUUCGAAAAUACAGUCAUCUUAGAAUAACCACAUUGUGUCGAGAAUAGGCGUAACAUAUUUUUGGUAAGAAUGGUAGGUGAAAUUGGGAAAGGUACGUAACUGUUUCUAAAAAUAAUCAGAAAAUUAGAAGGGUUUUAAGGGGUCCAUGUAUCAUUAGUUUCACCUACACUUAAGCAAAAGGCAACCCUAGCUUACUAUUGCACUUUAAUCGUGUCCUACAAUGCCACUAAACUCAAUUAGUAUAUGACUAAAUUGUUAUUGGUGCUACAAAAACGAGUAUAUCAAUCGAGAAGAAGCAUAACUUUAGCAUCAAAUUAAGGCACAUAUAUAGAAAAUUAAACAAAAUAAGAAGUUAUUUCUACACCUAAGAAAACCAGAGAGAGAGAGAGAGAGAGAGAGAGAAACAUAUGUUGAAGAUGAGGUUCUUAUUGGUAGCUUCCCAUGCCAAACCUCCUCUGAAAUGAAUGGACCAAACCAACACCAACACCUUCAACCUCGAGCGUGUGUACCACAAACGUGAACGCUACCGCCGGUACCUUUAACGCCAUCUCUUUCUCUCUUCUUAUUUUGGGUUUUACAUCCAAAAUAAAACAUAAUAUUGUGGGAUUCUGCUAAAUAAUUAGUAAUGUUAGUUUGAAACAAUUGGAUUUCACUCAAAACAGAUAAUUUGUCUGCAUUUUCGCUUCUAGUGUAGGGUUUGAUCCAGUGUACUUUUGGACUGUUUGGCUAGUUAUGUACUUUUGUAUUUGGACUGUUUGGCUAGCUAUGUAUUCUCUUCAAGCAUCAUUUCUGUUUCACUACUCGAAAUGAUCUGAAGCUCCUUAUCGACUGAAGGCACCAGAAAGUUGUGUUUGCCGAAGCUUGCAAAUACUGUUGUCACUCUCCUUUCUUUUGGCGCUCUUUAAAGCUCCUGUAUACUUUUUUUGUAAGGUCUAUUAUUUAUUUUCUUCGUGAAAAUAUAUGGUUCAACAUUGUCGUUUAAGAUGGGACGGGGGUUCUAGAGAGUUCGUGCAGACAGCAGAUCUAUAACACACCGAAGUUUGUAAACUAGCUAAUUUGACACAAUAUCCCAUUUAUGUAUUCUAUAAAAUUUUAUGUUGUGCUUUUUUUUAAGUGUGUGAAAUUGCUUAAGCAAUCAUUGCAAUCAAAGACGGUUCUCACCAAUGUGUUCCUCGGAGGGAAGAUAACAUGCAUUCAAAGACAGUUCUCCUUUCACCAAUUUGUCGGUUUAGUUGAACAAAGGUUUCUUUCACUAAUUUUAAUUUUAAGGUUUCUUUCACUAAUCUUAGUCCACCCAUGGUUACUAAAGAUAUUGUGCAUGGUUGGGUUGUGUUUUGACGAAAAACCUAAAAUGAAUGCAUGCUUGAGUCGAAUUCGAGCUCAAAUAGCUUAACACGAAAUCAUAUUUGAACUAGACUUGUUUAUAGUUAACUUGAUAUAAUUCACACCCAACUUUGGUUAAACUUAAUAGUAACAAGUUUGUCGAGCUUAAAACUUAUAAAUGAAGACAACUACAAGUCUUUUAACAGAAAUUUUUCAAUGUGUCAAGAAUACGGCAUCAAGUAUCAUAAUAUAAUUAGUUAAAAAAUAUUUUUAUUAAAUUUCAACCAUAAGAUAAAAGUGAGCCUUGCUUCGAGCCUUGCUUCGACCAUAAGAUAAAUGAAGACAACUUAUAACUACGAGCCUUGCUUCGAGCUUAAAACUUAUAAAUGAAGACAACUACGAGCCUUGCUUCGACCAUAAGAUAAAAGUGAGCCUUUCAUUAUUUUCCUUUAGAAAAAGAAAAGUUGUGGAAAAAGAGAGUGGAAUCGGCGUCCAAGCACAAUCAGUCUUGCCUUUCGUACAAAUCCCACCUCUAAUAUUUUACCACUGCAUGUUUCCCUUCACUUUCUUAUUUUUACAAAAGUUUGAAAAGAAAAAUAAACAUAAUUUAAUGAUCCAAUUGAAUAAUGCAGAAGUCUUUGCCUUUCGUACAAAGCUCAUGCAUACUCAUCAAUUAAAAUUUCAGCGACGACAACAAAGUAGAAUAAAUGAGUGUGAUUUAACAUCCGAUUUUUGUGAUAUAGAGGAUUCUCAAUGCAAAAUCUAUAUUUUUCUUAACAAAUGAUAUUAUCUACGCUAAGGAGGUAAGGGAGUGAGCUAAGUCUCACAAUAGGCUAGCACUAAUGUGGUUCAAAUUGAGAAUCGAACCUAAAACCUCUCACUUGCAAGUGAAGAGGAAUACCGCAUAUAUUUUUAUAUUUAAAUUUUAAAAAGUGGCCACUUUGAGGUUUUGGCUUUCUGAUUGAUUAGGAGUUAAUCUUAGCGGCAGCUUAUGACACACCCCGACCCGGAACGUCCACUAGGAUUUCGAAUCGAGAUGUGCCAGCACGUCUUGAUUUUAGGUCAGGGUGUGUUAGCUUAGGCCGAUUUUUAGAACGUUUUUAUACUUUUUUGAUAGAAUUAUUAUCUCAAUAGUCAGAUGAUCGUUGUAUUAAAUACAUAUAUUCACAUGAAUUCUAUCAGACUGUCACAUAGUGAUUAUAUUUUAUACAUAUAAGUAUUGUAGCCAAUCCCUAAAAUAGAAUAUAUAAUACUUGCAUCCUCUAUUUGUGAAUAUUGCAUCUUGACUGAUAAAAUCAACAAUCAGAACUGUUCAAUCACUCAUCAAAUAAAUGAACGAUUCAUUGUGAAUAUAUUACUUAGUAUCCACACCUUCAAUCUGUUCUAUACAUUUAAAUGACUAAAUGGUCUUCGAUUGAAAUGAUCUUUUGUAAAGGGUUAUCUUCAAACGAAAACUAAGAAAUCGAACAAUUUCGAUUAUAAAAUUUUUACAGUCAAAAUAUGUCAUUCGCAAAGAGGAAAUGAGCUCAUGCUCAUCCCAAAAAAAGUAUGCAAGUAUUAUCCAAUAAAAUAUAGUACAAUACAGGUAGGGGUGAGUUCAAAAAACCGAAAACCGAAAAAACCGAAAACCAAACCGAAUUCUUUUGGUUCGGUUCGGUUUUAGUGAUCUAGAAACCGAACCGAAUUAAUUAAAUUAAUUUUUUUAUUUAAUUAUUUGUUUUGGGUAUUAUUUUCUAAACCCAAUUUGUAAGUUAAAAUGUACUAAACCCAAUGUGUUGCCAAACUUUAAGCUCAAAAUAUUAAAAAAAGGCCUAUAAAAACUCUAAACCCUAACCUAUUAUUUCUCCCCCAUAUAAGGUUCCGGAACCAAACCUCCUCCUGAAAUACCUACAUCCAUCUCCAUAGCACUGUCUACUUCUGCCCCAUCUUUCUUUUCCAAAUCUACUCUCAUAACAUGUAACAAAAUCCAUAAACAUUUAUUUUGGGUAGAUUACUUGGGUAAUUUGUGAUGGAAAAGAAUCCAACACACACUAAAUAAAUCCACCCACGCAUUAUUUUUACUAAUCAAGUUGUCAACAUGCAGUUACAAGCAAACAACCCUGAUCUUUGAACAACAUCAUGCAAUUUAACUUUUCUAAGUCAUUUGUACGAUUUUUGUGUUGAGAGGUUGUUAGUUUGGACUUUGGAAGACUUGAUUAAUGAUUUUAGUUCAACUUUAAAUGUUUAUUUUCAUUGUCUUUGAUUCUAGUUAGAAUGCUUAUGUUAUGAUUGUGUUGGAUAUGUUAAAAUUUAAAAUUUCAAUGUUUUUCAUUUUUUGAAAAAAGACAAAAAACAAAAAACCGAAACCGAACCGAAAAAAACCGAAAAAAAAAUGAACCGAACCGAAAUUUCGGUUUGGUUUCGGUUUUGGCAAAAAACCGAACCGAUUUAAACCGAACCCACCCCUAAAUACAGGUGUAUAGCCAAAAGUGAACCGAUUAAAACUUAUCAAUCAAAUUUGUGGCCUGAGUAAUUUUUAAUGAAGGGUUGAAAUUCUAUAAAUAGGUCCAUUAUUGCAAGUAUGAUGCACUAAACUUUAGUUGCUUGAAAAUAUACUCAUCAAAACUCUCUGUGUGCAUGGAAAACCCCAAGCCAAGUAUUUGCUUGAAGCUCCUUGUCGAUACAAAGCGUCAACGAGUUCUCUUUGCUGAAGCUGGCAAAGACUUUGUGGACUUUCUCUUCACACUCCUGUCUUUGCCCAUUGGCACUGUCAUCGGGCUCCUUCCCAAAGAUGGCAUGGUUGGCUCGUUAGGCAAACUUUACGGCAGUGUCAAGAGCCUAAGCAGCACAUACAUGCAACCUUACUUUAACAAGGAAUCCCUCCUGAAACCUAAGGCAACAGCAACGAUUGGUGUUGGUGCCGAUGUCCUUCAUAUGCUGAUGAUAGACGACUCCACUGCUGAAAAGUCAUU
rnacentral:lncRNA from 1 species